rnacentral:rRNA from 1 species
GAUGAACGCUGACAGAAUGCUUAACACAUGCAAGUCUACUUGAACUUCGGUUUGGGUGGCGGACGGGUGAGUAACGCGUAAAGAACUUGCCUCACAGAUAGGGACAACAUUUGGAAACGAAUGCUAAUACCUGAUAUUAUGAUUUUAGGGCAUCCUAGAAUUAUGAAAGCUAUAUGCACUGUGAGAGAGCUUUGCGUCCCAUUAGCUAGUUGGAGAGGUAACGGCUCACCAAGGCGAUGAUGGGUAGCCGGCCUGAGAGGGUGAUCGGCCACAAGGGGACUGAGACACGGCCCUUACUCCUACGGGAGGCAGCAGUGGGGAAUAUUGGACAAUGGACCAAGAGUCUGAUCCAGCAAUUCUGUGUGCACGAUGAAGUUUUUCGGAAUGUAAAGUGCUUUCAGUUGGGAAGAAAAAAAAUGACGGUACCAACAGAAGAAGUGACGGCUAAAUACGUG